AGGCUCGGAGCUCUAGGC
rnacentral:miRNA from 1 species